AUGCAGUCGAACGGGGCACGGGAGCAAUCCUGGUGGCGAGUGGCGAACGGGUGAGUAAUAUAUCGGAACGUGCCCAGUCGUGGGGGAUAACGCAGCGAAAGCUGUGCUAAUACCGCAUACGAUCUAUGGAUGAAAGCGGGGGACCGUAAGGCCUCGCGCGAUUGGAGCGGCCGAUAUCAGAUUAGCUUGUUGGUGGGGUAAAAGCCCACCAAGGCGACGAUCUGUAGCUGGUCUGAGAGGACGACCAGCCACACUGGAACUGAGACACGGUCCAGACUCCUACGGGAGGCAGCAGUGGGGAAUUUUGGACAAUGGGCGCAAGCCUGAUCCAGCAAUGCCGCGUGCAGGAUGAAGGCCUUCGGGUUGUAAACUGCUUUUGUACGGAACGAAACGGCUCUUUCUAAUAAAGAGGGCUAAUGACGGUACCGUAAGAAUAAGCACCGGCUAACUACGUGCCAGCAGCCGCGGUAAUACGUAGGGUGCGAGCGUUAAUCGGAAUUACUGGGCGUAAAGCGUGCGCAGGCGGUUAUAUAAGACAGAUGUGAAAUCCCCGGGCUCAACCUGGGACCUGCAUUUGUGACUGUAUAGCUAGAGUACGGUACAGGGGGAUGGAAUUCCGCGUGUAGCAGUGAAAUGCGUAGAUAUGCGGAGGAACACCGAUGGCGAAGGCAAUCCCCUGGACCUGUACUGACACUCAUGCACGAAAGCGUGGGGAGCAAACAGGAUUAGAUACCCUGGUAGUCCACGCCCUAAACGAUGUCAACUGGUUGUUGGGUCUUCACUGACUCAGUAACGAAGCUAACGCGUGAAGUUGACCCGCUGGGGAGUACGGCCG
rnacentral:rRNA from 1 species